rnacentral:rRNA from 1 species
AACGAACGCUGGCGGCAUGCCUAACACAUGCAAGUCGAACGAGACCUUCGGGUCUAGUGGCGCACGGGUGCGUAACGCGUGGGAAUCUGCCCUUGGGUUCGGAAUAACAGUUAGAAAUGACUGCUAAUACCGGAUGAUGUCUUCGGACCAAAGAUUUAUCGCUCAGGGAUGAGCCCGCGUCGGAUUAGCUAGUUGGUGAGGUGAAAGCUACCCAAGGCGACGAUCCGUAGCUGGUCUGAGAGGAGGAUCAGCCACACUGGGACUGAGACACGGCCCAGACUCCUACGGGAGGCAGCAGUGGGGAAUAUUGGACAAUGGGCGAAAGCCUGAUCCAGCAAUGCCGCGUGAGUGAUGAAGGCCUUAGGGUUGUAAAGCUCUUUUACCCGGGAUGAUAAUGACAGUACCGGGAGAAUAAGCCCCGGCUAACUCCGUGCCAGCCGCCGCAGUAAAAC